GACGAACCAUGCAAACGUUAUUCGGAAUUACUGGGCGUAAAGCGCGUGUAGGCGGCCCUGCAAGUCGGGUGUGAAAUCCCAUGGCUCAACCAUGGAAGUGCACUCGAAACUGCAGGGCUAGAGUCCUGGAGAGGAAGGUGGAAUGCUUGGUGUAGAGGUGAAAUUCGUAGAUAUCAAGCGGAACACCGGUGGCGAAGGCGGCCUUCUGGACAGUGACUGACGCUGAGACGCGAAAGCGUGGGGAGCAAACAGG
rnacentral:rRNA from 1 species